rnacentral:rRNA from 1 species
CCUACGGGGGGCAGCAGUGAGGAAUAUUGGUCAAUGGCCGGAAGGCUGAACCAGCCAUGCCGCGUGAAGGUCAGUGCCCUAUGGGCGUUAAACUUCUUUUGUGCGGGAGCAAUAAGGUCCACGUGUGGGCCGACGAGAGUACCGUACGAAUAAGCAUCGGCUAACUCCGUGCCAGCAGCCGCGGUAAUACGGGGGAUGCAAGCGUUAUCCGGAUUUAUUGGGUUUAAAGGGUGCGUAGGCUGUGAGGUAAGUCAGCGGUGAAAUGCCCCCGCUCAACGGGGUGAAGUGCCAUUGAUACUGCCUUGCUGGAAUGCGGAUGCCGUGGGAGGAAUGUGUGGUGUAGCGGUGAAAUGCAUAGAUAUCACACAGAACACCGAUUGCGAAGGCAUCUCACGAAUCCGCGAUUGACGCUGAUGCACGAAAGCGUGGGUA